GUGUUUUUCUUGGCCAAGAGUGUUCAAGGGAAAGCGAACAGCAUAUUCAAAGGCCUUGAGGCAGGAGGGUGCUAGAACAGCUGGCCAGAGCACAGUGAGCUGAGGACACGGGGAAUAGAAGAGUUUAGUAAGGAAAUGUGGGGCAGUUUAUGUUGGGACUAGUAAAGCAUGGCCAGAAUUUUGAAUUUUAUCCCGACUGACAUGUAAGAGCUACAAGAGAGGUUUGACUUAUGAAGAUCCCCACACUUGCUGCUAUGGAGAAAAGUGAAAGGAAAAGUGGGGUGACCAGAUAUAGACACCGCAAUAACUAGGGAGAGAGGACGGUGGCUUUGAUAGGAUUAUAGUGGCCAAGUUGGUGAGCUUCAGGUUCUGGAUACAUGCAGAGAACAGAGGCAACAGGAUUUACAGAUGAAUUACAUGAGACACGGAAGAAUGACUCCAGGGUUUUAAGGUACUGAAAGUAUGGAUCUGCCAUUUAUUUAGACGUUGAUGGUCAUGGGGAGCUGAAGCUUGGUUUUAGACACAAGUAAUGAGUGCCUACUAAGACACCUGUUAAAUAGAGAUGUCUAGCAGGCAGUUAGAUAUACAAUUUUGAAGUCUACGAGAGACUAAGCUAGAUAUAUAAUCUUGGGAGUCAACACUUAUUUGGAACUAUAUAUUUGUUUAAAGUCUCCCAGGGAGUGAGUAAAGUUGGGAGAGGGUCCUAUUGAAUUGGAGGUAUCGAAGAUGAAAAGGAAUUAGCAAAGAAGAACGGGACGGAGGGACUCUUGAACGGACAACUACGGGAGUGAUGUCACAGGUCAUUUAUCUGCCAAAUUAUUUUCGCUUAAGAGAUUUCAGUCCUUCCAAAAAACCCUCAAGAUAAUUUUAUGAUUCAAGAUUUCAGCGAAUGCUGUAAGAUAAUAGACUGUGGCCGGGCGCGGUGGCUCACGCCUCUAAUCCCAGCACUUUGGGAGGCAGAGGAAGGGGGACUGCUUGAGCCCAGGAGUUCAAGAUCGGCCUGGGUAACAUAAUUUUUUUUGAAGAACAGAGCAGGGUAUCCCGCGACCCAAGCCAAGACGCUCUCAGGAAGAAAGCCCAGCACGCAGCCGCCCUCGCACCCUGAUUGCCCCCGGGGCGAGGUCCCCGGCUGAAGCGGGGCUGCAGAAGCCGGGAAGCAACGCCGAGGACCGAGCCGACCGAUGGGCGCAUGCAGUGAGGGGAACCGGGGCCGCCAUGCCGGGCACGUUCCCAAAGGGUUGCACUGGGCGCUGCAGCGUGGGAAACCCCCGUGGCGGUCACCACUGGCGCUAGCUGAGGCGAGACUCACCUUGAGCCGUGGCCCCCUCACUGCUGUAACCCAGGUUCCAUGGCUGCAUGGACAGCUCAAUUUUCAUCAGAAGGGAGCCUCAAAAUUCUAGCAUACUGAGACCCAAAACUUACAAACCGCCUCAGCUGGCGACCUACCGGGAAAAAAAAAAAAAAAAAAAAAAAGCAUGCGGCGCAUGCGCGUCCAAGGCCGCGGACCGGAAGCUGGAGCUCGCCUGUUGGGAGCCGCGUCCGCCGGUGUUGGUGUCUGCAAUUGGAACGACGUAGGGAAUGCGUUGUCCCUGCUAGGUACUUUUCAGUCGCAGAGUUCUCUUCUUCUUCUUUCUUCCUUUUUUUUUUUUUUUUUUUUGAGACGGAGUCUCGCUGUGUCCCUCAAGCUGGAGUGCAGUGGCGCGAUCUCGGCUCACCGCAGCCUCCGCCUCCUGGGUUCAAGCGAUUCUCCUGCCUCAGCCUCCCGAGUAGCUGGGAUUACAGGCGCCCACCACCAUGCCCAGAUAAUUUUUGUAUUUUUCAGUAGAAAUGGGGUUUCACCAUGUUGUCCAGGCUGGUCUCGAACUCCUGACCUCAGGUGAUCCACCGGCCUCGGCCUCCCACAGUGCUGGGAUUACAGGCCUGAGCCACCGAGCCCGGCCGGAGUUUUUCUACUUAAUACCUCUCCAUGCCAACCCCGUUGUCAUUUCCCAGCGGCCGCCUCUAUAACGGGCACUUUUCAGGGACAAAGAAUUGGUCCGUUAAUGUUCCUCAAACUCGAACGCGCCUAGGAAUAGUUCGGGGAUCCUGUUGAAGUGCAGAUCAGGAUUCCGUAGGUAGGGGUGGGGUUCCACAUUCUACAUUUCUAGUAUCUUCCCACACGAUGGUGAUCCUCCUUGUCCCUGAAUCAUGGAGGAGGGCAAUUAGGGAGAUGUGAGCCUGGAUGCAUGGUGGCCUUGGCUAUCUUAGGUGUUCUUGCCCAUUAACCAAGCUGGGAGGAACCGUGUGAAUGCAUAUCUAUCCCUGUUAAUAAAAGGGUAGUUUGAAGGAGAUGCUGACAGGAAAAUAAUUAGAAAUGUUUUUCUUCCCAAUCCAACUAUAUGCAAUACACUUUAUAAUAUUCAUUUUAGAAAUGUCAUAGAUAAGAUUUGUAAACAUUGACAUUUAGCAAUACUAAAUAUCACUGCUAGGUCUCCCCUCCACUUUUUUUUUUUAAACAAAAAUACGACAGUAUGUAUUGUAGGUCUUCAUAAACUACGUCUUCUGCAUGGUGUUUCAUGAGCGUUUUUCAAUGUCAUAAUUUAUUUUUUCCUCCAACAUUUAUUAUGAAAAAAUUCAAGUGUAAAGCGAAGUGGAGAGAAUUUUACAGUGGAGCAGACCUCAAGAGAAGGGGAAGGAUGGAUUUCCCCUCUAUUUAGCAGUGUCUGAAGACAUUUUGGGUUGUCACAACUGGAAGGAUGGUAUUGGCAUGGGGUAGGUAGAGCACAGGGAUGCUCCUCAACUUCCUACAAUGAACAGGACAUCCUCCGACAGCAACGAAUUUGCUGGUCCAAAAUGUUGAUAGUGUUGAGGUUGAAAAACACUGACCUGGAGAGUACAGAAUUUUACUCUACCAGCUUUGUCACAUACCUCAUCAAUCUAUCUGUUUUCAUACAUUUAGAAGUAAACUGCAGACAGUACGCUUCUAAGUACCUCUAAUGCACAUCAUUGGAGUUCAAAUUAAGGAUUUUUUAAGGUAAAAAUGAAAUGCAUACCUUAAAUACACAUCAGUUUUUAAAUGCACACGCGUAUGGAACUCAAGCCAUAUUAACAUAUAGAACGUUACCAUCACCCUAGAAAGUUCUUUCAUGCCCUUUCUUAGUUCCCAUCCAGUUCUCCCCAAAGGUAACCACUGUUCUGAUUUUUUCCCCCACCAUACUUAUUUUUCUUGUUCUAGAACGUCAUAUGGUUGGAGUCAUGCAAUAGAUAUUUUUGUGUAAGGGUUCUUUCACUCAGGGUAAUAUUUUCAUCUGAUAUCAUGUGUAUCACUUUGAUUGCUCAGUAGUAUUCCAUCAUAUGAAUAUGCCAGUUCCAUUCUUGUUUUGAUAGAAACCUGGGCUGUCUUCAGUUUUUUGGCUAUUAUAAAUAAAGCUGCUGUGAACGUU